rnacentral:rRNA from 1 species
CCUACGGGAGGCUGCAGUGGGGAAUAUUGCACAAUGGGGGAAACCCUGAUGCAGCGACGCCGCGUGAGUGAAGAAGUAUUUCGGUAUGUAAAGCUCUAUCAGCAGGGAAGAAAAUGACGGUACCUGACUAAGAAGCCCCGGCUAACUACGUGCCAGCAGCCGCGGUCAUACGUAGGGGGCAAGCGUUAUCCGGAUUUACUGGGGGUAACGGGAGCGUAGGUGGCAUGGUAAGCCAGAAGGGAAAACCCGGGGCUCAACCCCGCGGAUUGCUUUUGGAACUAUCAGGCUGGAGUGCUGGAGGGGUAAGCGGAAUGCGUAGUGUAGCGGUGAAAUGCGUAGAUAUUAGGAGGAACACCGGUGGCGAAGGCGGCUUACUGGACAGAAACUGACACUGAGGCUCGAAAGCGUGGGGAGCAAACAGGAUUAGAUACCCGGGUAGUC